GGGUAAGUCUUAUACGACCAGCUCCUGCAGAACUCCCCCAGGCAAGGAAUUGAGCAAGGGUAUGCGGUUGUAGCGGUGCGAUAUAAGUAGCUUACCCUU
rnacentral:SRP_RNA from 1 species